GCAAUAAUAGUAUAAGUAGUAUACUUGUCUUCCAAACAAGUGGUUCUGUUCUAGAUUGUUGUA
rnacentral:tRNA from 1 species